GGCACAGGAGAGGGAUGAAAAACAAGGAGGAGUUGCCUGUCUCCAGCCACAGCACAGGCACAGGGGACGGAGGCGCACCCAGCAGCCACUGUGGCGCAGCUGACUUCCUCCACAGCCAGAAGUGGUGGGAGAAAACUCUGGUGCUGAGUCACGUUUCCUUCCUUUGGGCUCAUGCUGGGAUGGAUGGACAUGCCUGCACUAUGCCAGCAAGGCUUCACUGCAUGGCUUCUGCUGGGGACUGCUCGAGGUGGAUGCAGUGGUCCCUGUCAGAUGUGUGCCAAAUUGAAAUGCCAGCAGCUGUGUGAGCAGCGGGAUAAUCGUAUCUGCCGCUUCUUUCUUCCAAGUCCUGACGUUCCCAUUUCAGCAGUGGUGAGUCCGUGCUCAGCUCCACAGGAGGAAUUCCAUUGACUGAAGGCAUGCUGAUGCCUGGGGGAUGAGGUUACAUGCUCAUCAGUCACCUGUCUGACUGCGAACCCACUGGAUAGGACAGAUAGCAAGAAACCAAACGGUGCAGAGGCAAACAAAGGAACCCUGAGGAUCCCAUCAGCAGUGAUUGCUUUGCACACGAACGGGCUUGCUGGGAGGACUGACCAAACCUCAGUGAUAACAUCAGUGCUCCCCAGCUGAAAGUGGGAAGCUUGCAUUGCUCUACUGUUGUCAUAAGAAGGCACAGACUUUGGAAGCAGCAGCUCGUUCCUCUUACAAAUUUGCAGUGUAUUCUCCUUUUUUCCAUUCUGUACCACUGAGUGUGAUGAUGGAGAUGCUGCUGUUGGCUUAUUCCCUACCGUCACAGCAGGAGGGGACAGGAGAGAAAAAUCUUUGCUCAGUUUUUUGUUAUGAUCCAUCUUCAUCCAUGAUAUGGCAUCUGCAGUAUGGAAUUCCCCCUGAAUGAAAGGGAAUGACAACGUCUUCACCUCCUGAAGACAGGAUACAGCUCUCAGACUGAAUUAGCUGCAGCUGGAUAGCUUUUUGAAAUCCCCACAGUUAUCAGACCUGGAAGAUUUUUCUAUCGUGAUGGCCUGGGCUAGGCAUUUGGUGGACAGGCUGUCUCUGACAGAAGAAUACAGUUCAUCAAAAGUGUCUGCAGGUUGUCAAACUCAGUGAGAUUUGGGGACACUCGGAGGCUGUCAUGGCCAACAAGAAGAUUUUCUGUAGGGUUCUGCCAUCAUUCACCCUCAGGAAAUAAUCACUCACUACAUUCUGCAUGCUCUCAUGAUAGAGCUCUAUUUGAGAGAAAAGAGCCAUUUUAUCAAAGGACAAUAUAUCCCUUCUCUUGGUCCAUGCAGCUUCCAUUAUCAGACCAUAAUAAAUCAUAUUUAUGUUCUCAGUUAAUAAGACUGAUUACAAUGCAGGUUACAGGCAUGGGAAAAGCAAAGCAGGUGAAAAGAUGUUUUAAUGAAAAUAUGAUAAGCAAACAGCUUCUUGUGAACAUUUCAGGCUGUUAUUUGUAAUGAUCACAGGCAAUUUUUGAUACAUCUUCUUUAGCAAUGGUUUAAGCUGCAUAAAUUGGCUUGCCACUUUAUACGUUGAAAUAGGAAGAAUCCCAGUGUCCUUAUGUUGUCUAGAAUCAUUAUAUACAUUAUAAGCAUAAAAUGAGUUUAAUGUAUGUGCUUUGAAAAGAAGGGGAAAACAGAAAAUCAGGGAGGACUGAUUUUAAUGCUGCUCAAAAUGAUUUUGAAAUUUUCUGUUCAUCUUUGUUACUAACGGUGCAUUUUCCAUGAAAUUUAGGAAUGACAUGUGGUGCUUUCAUCUCCUUAAAAUUAAUAUACUUCUCUUUCUGUUUUCCUCAAUUUCUUCAAAGUUCUUUUUAGAACACUGUGCAAAGAGACAGAGAGAAAAUUCUCCACUCGAUGAGUGAAUAUAUCUGUUAUUAAUGCUGGGGGGAGUUAAGUGUGUGCUUCUAGAGGAGAAUAUACCCCUGCAUUAAAUAUUGAAAUAAACAGUAUUAAAGAGGUGCAAGGAUAUUUGGCUGCAGCACACCUGAUGCAUUCAAGGGCUAAAUUCCUUAGAAUCUUUUAAAGUGAUUAAGAUCUUUUCUGUUAAGAGUUCUCCAAUGAUUUCAGAGUAUAACUGUACCUAAACAGCUGAUGAAAUGUCCUGCUCUUGUCUUUUGAAAAGCUUUCUUUUAUGUUUUAUUGUUUUCUUUUUUGUUGCUGUUGUAGUCAUUUGGUUUAUGUUGAGCAUCAUAUUUUCAAGACAAAGUUAAAAAUUUAAAGAAUAAUUUCCUCCUGCUAGCACGUAAUGCUGACUAAGUAUUGCAAAAUCUACAGCACUUGCAGAAUGCAAGCAUUAUGCUUAUAAUUUUUAUAAUGAUUCUAGACAAUAUAAGAAGGACACUGGGAUUCUUCCUAUUUUGAUAUAUAAAGUGGCGAGCAAAUGCAGAAGUCUCCAUGGUGUUGUGUGUCUGCAGGAAAUGUUCUGAUACUUCUAAAACUCUCUUAAACAAAUGUUAAAGCUUUGUAAUGGAACUGGCAAUGGAGAAUGACCAUGAAAUUCCCUUAACCCUUAUAGGGCACUUCAGCAGGAGAAGUGAUCACACAAGAAACAAUAAACUGCUCUUCAAAGGCGGUAUCCUGAUAUGACAACAGACGUAGAUAAUGCACUUCAUGAUGGAACUGUUUGAUACAGGGAAAAACAUGUUGUAACUGCCUUCAGUAUGAAAGGGGUUUAAAAAUGCUGCUUGCCAACUCCACAAAAAACAGAGCUGCUAUUUCAGUUAAAGGCCAGUGGAUUGUAUUUUUCAUGUCAGUUUUCACUAACCUCAAACAUCACUGUUAUGACAGACUGUCAUCCAACCAGACCAGCACUGUGAUGCCAUUCAGGCAAGAAGGAAGAAAGCAAACACAAAGGAAACUUAGAAGUCCGAAUAGUGAGAGGGGGUGUCUAUGAGUGCACUUUUGUGCAGUGAUACUGAUUACUGAAAAUGAAACACUUAAAAGAAAAUAAACCCAAAAAAGUGCUUUCUGAGCCAUUGGUGUUUUCUUGCCUGCCCAUUUCUCUUUGUUCUGUUUCAUGACAUCAGCCUUAAUGGUUGAAAGGAUGUUCUGGGCCAGAUGUCAAUCACUAUGUCUAACAUAAACAAAAAUAGCUAAAAAGACAUGCCAGCAUCUUCCUUUUGUUUUCCCAUUAGCUCCAUUUUUCUUUUCAGAGGCUGACAAAAAAUUACUGCCUCCGAGUGAAUUCAGUAAUGUCACUAUAUAUCUAAUAUCUAGGAGACCUUUUGUUUUAGCUUUACUGGGCUUAACCACAAAAGACACUUGACAUUGACAAAGAGUCUGUCAAAUACACGAUGAUCAGUGCAAUGAAAUCUCUCAUGACAGAAGGGCACUAUUCUGCACCCCCAGCCCGCAGCAGCCUGUCUGAGCAAAAUGUGCCGGAGCACACGCAGCAGCUGAACCAUUGCAGAGCAGGCCAUAAGCUGAGAUGUGUCUUGUUUAAAGUGUCAUAGUAUAUUAGUGUAAUUAAAACCGCCAAAAGAAUAGAAAAGAUAGAUGGAAAUGUUACAUUACUUGUUUCUAGAGAUUAACCUCCAGCCAGAACUGAAAUACAGAGACACAUUUUGCAUGUCUUAGAGCUCUGAUAUGGAAGAAAACAAGCCUGAGAGUAUGUCUCUUGAAGUGUGAGACAUGAAGUCAUAGUUCCUGUAUUUACACAAUAAAGCAGAAAUAGCGUUUCAGACAGGCACGCUGUUUUCUCUCUGAUUACAGCUCCCGUUGUGGCUGUACUCUGCAAAGCAGCUGUAUCAUCUCUCAGCUACUUCCCUUUUACUCUCUCUGCCUUCAUGCUUGGAAGGUCUUGAGGACCCUUGGGCCCACGAAUGUGCUGGUGUCAAUGCUUUCUGCUCCCUUGGCAUCUGCCAGUGUUGUGUGGUUCUAGCCUGGAGGCAGAGCACCCUGUCCGCUCUGGUGGCUGCAGAAGCCAGAGCUCAGCUCCACACUCAGCAACAGCCAGCUAGAAAGAUGUUUGAAGAAUGGCUUCAAUCUGACCUUUGUAUAUACCAGGCUGCGUGCUUGCUUCUCUGUUGAGUCUAUAGAUAGAACUGCAUGGCUUUCUGAAAUGGACCCUGAAAAUUAUGUUCUUGGCACUGUAUGUUUUCCUUCCUGUGCAUCAUUACCUGUGAUAACUACUCAAGCCUAACUAGUUAUCUAGAUCUCUGUUUCUAACUCGAUCUCUGUUUCUAACCGUGACACAAGUUAUAUCUGGUGGUGAGAAAUUUUUGGAGUUUUUUAUGGAGCUGUUCAGCUGUAUAGGCUGAACCUUGGUUUAUCUAGAAUCUGGAGAGGACCUGAUCUGGCUUCAGCAGUUCUGAAACACUACAAAAGCAGCAUGGCUUUUUUCUAAUAUAAGUCUUAAUGCAAGGAGAAGAUGCAUUAAUCAGGUAUGUCUCAUGUUCAUUUCUUCCACUAUAAAUGAACUUCAAGGCCUUGCCCCAUUAGUUGAUCAGUUUGAAGUCAAGAGAUGUUAAAUAUAGGCCUUACAUUGUAGGUUUCCUCAUAUGUCCUCUAUUUCCCAGCUUUAAAUAUCAGUUAAUGACUUCUCCAUAUAGCACUUCUCUUUAAUUUCUAGUCAGAGGCUGUAAAUGUGCACUGUUAGUCAAAAAUAUGUUAUCUGCAUUUAGUGGUGGCUUCUGGAGCCCUCACCAUGAAGUUACCUCACAAUCGCAUCUCUCCUCACAUGAUUUUCUGAGUACUGCCAGGAGAAGAAUGGAAAAUAACUAUGAAAUAAAAGCAGAUUCUGCUCCCAUUACAGGCAAUGAAAACUCUACUUUUACUUCUACUUGCUCAUAAUAGUGGGGGGAAAAAAUGAAGUGGAAACAAGCACAACAAAACACCUCUGCCAGCUAUCUUUAAGCUAACCAAGGCUUCCACUAAUGAGGUGGUCUGGCAUUUUGAGAAAGACAGGUUUUUUCCAGAAAUGGAAAAAAUAUGCUAUUUUUUUUCCUUCGAUUCUGAGAGCAUAGUGAGAGAGAAAGAAAUCGUAUUUCAAAAAGCAAACUUUUAAUGCUGUCUGUAUUAUUUAGUGCUUACAGACACCAGUAUAGUUUCUUGUCAGUUAUGUUUUUGCAUAUUUGUUUGUUAGAUUACUAAGUACUUUCCUAAAAACUAGAUAUUUGCUGUAUUUACAGAUUCAUCUCAGUGACUGUGAAAUUCCUGAGGAUGUUAUCACUUUCAAGUCAGAUUAACAGAGUAAUUUCCAGUUACCACCAGUGAAGAGAUUCCUACCAAUGCUGGCAGGCAAUUGUUCAGUCUUACGGAGCUUCAAAUAACUGUACAGCUUGAAAGUCUGAACAACCGUGCAACCAUGCUACCAGAACUCCUGAUACUACUCUUAAAGUGGACCUUUCUUUGAGAAAGAAAAUGAUUCCAUUUUUUUUGAUCAGGUUCUUCCUCUAGAGGAGUUCCUGCAGCUACAGGACCAGGAGUUUCAGAUAGGAGACUGCUGCAGGGAGGCAUGUGCAUUAGCAAAUGAAGUCUGAUACACUGCAGCCAUGGGGAUCAAGUUGGAAGAGUGUGCAUUCACUGGAGCUCUGUAACCCAUGUGCUCUUCAGAUGACCUCAUACACCUCACAGUUGCCAGGACUCAUCCUGUCUGGAUUACAGGUUUCUCUCAUUUCUGCUUCUCUCAGUGAAGUUGUCCUCAGUGCUCACCUCACGUAAACAGCUAGGCUCAGUGGAGGACCAUCCUCAUCUGGUGGCUCUUUGGCACAAGUGCCAUAACACUUGCUCAUUUAUUAUUAAAAAAAAUCUUAAAACUCAGAAGAUGAAGAAUGAAUUAAUCCUUGGAACAUCUGCAUAUGGUUUAAAGAGAAAUUCAACGCGUUUACUGAAUUCCUGUUUUUCAGAUGUCUGAGGUCAAGAAAAGGUUAAAGUUGUUCACAAGCUCUGGCCUUAGAAGUUAAUUCAGCGCUGUGCUGCGAGAGCCACAGAGUAGGUCCUUGGAACAGUGAAUUGCUGGUUUGAUAUCAAGGUCUGUGGGCUUUAAUAAUAUAAUUAGUUUGUUUUCUAAGGAAAUCCUAGCAGGGACAUUAUGGUCAUAUAAAGUCAUUAUACUGUUUUACAACAUAACUUUAACGAUGUUUUGGAAUGAUCAGAGUCUGGGAAAGGAUUCUAUUUUUUAUUACUUGUGGGAUAUCUUUAAACUGUCAUAGCUACAACAGUGCCGCUUGGAAUAGGUGCUCUACAGUUCCAAACAAAAGACAAAAGAUAUUUAGAGGCCUAAGUUAGGUUGCUGAAGCAUAUCUGUCCAUAGAAAGCCUGAAAGUUGAAUUGUGUGGAUUCCACACCCUUCUGACAAGCAGCUCCUGUUUUGUAGGAGGUGGACAGUUGGGGUAAUCUAGGUAUUUUAUUGCAUUACCACAAGAACAGAUAGAGAGCCUAGAAUGCUACAAGUUUUGCUUUUCAUAGUUCUCUGUCAGAAUUCAGGAGUGAGCAGUUUUAAAAGUAUUAGAAAAGGAAGAGGGCAUAUUUUCCAGAACUUUGGUAUCCUGCGAACUCAAAGACAGAAGAAACAUUAAACUAGUCAAACUAAAAAACUAGUUCUGCUGCCAUUUCUGCUCUGCUAAGGCUCUCUGAGGCAACACUGUUUGCUCCCUUCUCGGGAGACAAAGAACCAUUAAUUUGGGAUGAGGGGAGCAUGCUACAGAGAGGUUUCCCUGUGGUGCAGAGCAGCUUCUGGAUGUGCUGAGGGACGGGUCUGUUAGGGCCUCAUUUUCUUCCUCCUCUGUAAACUAUGCCUAACAGCUUCAGUGAGAGAAAGCAUCAAGCCCCAUCGUGUUCAUAGAAAUACAACAUAUUUUAAAGCUGUAGUUAAUGGAUAAGCUGCUUUCUGAUUGGGUGAGCUGCACAAUAAAUCUCUCCAUGAGCCAAGUGCAGUGCAGCUUGUUCAGGAACAGUGAAAUGAGCCACUGUCACUUUGCUGCACUCUCAUACAUCAGGCAAAACGCUUCCAUCUUCAUCAGUCUUUUAGUAAAACAGAAAUAAAACAAUCGUAACAGAAUGGUGUCACUGGAUCCGUGGCACCUGCUUUAAAAAUAAAUCUCUGAGCUUUGUCUUUGCUAUUACUUUCAAUAAAUGUCCUAGCAUUGCCACAGCAUUUAUCUAGCAGCAGGAAACCAUUAUCCUAUGACAACAAUCUAUUCCAUUAACAUUAGCUCUUAAUUGUAAGAUUGUUUAUAAGACAGCAAAAGCUACUGAAUUAUACUAGAAUGAUAAAAAGAGUUAUGGUCAUGGAGUAUAGCAGUCACUCCAGUUCUGAAAAACAACUUUAGAAAAGUAGAGAGCUAUAUUUCCAUAUGAAAAAUAAUGUAAUAUUUGUAUGCGAGAAAAUGUUUUUAAAUAAUGUAUUACAUCAGCAAAAUAACUCUUAAAGAGUUAAUGUUAAAAAUUGUUACUGAGAAGCUUUUGCUUUGAUAAAUGGCAUAACAAAAAAGCUGAAUAGAAAGCUCAGAAACUUGCAUAGUUCUUCCUGAAAGGCUGUACUGAGUCAAACAGAGAAUCAUAGUAACAGAAGCACAUUUGUCUGGCGGAGUCAACAGAAGGAAUGUUGCAAAAUUGAGAUAUGAAGAACCUGACUGCAGAAUAGAAGAACUGUCAUUCUGAUUGUUUGUCAUUAUUGUUUCAUGUCCAGUUAAGUGAACUUCGAGUGACAGUUGUGUCAUAACUACUGGCAUCUAUGUAAAUUUCAAAUCAAAUGCAAUAGAGGCAGUUGUGCCAGACACAAGUCUCCAGACUGCUUUUCCUCUUUACUUUGGUAACCCUCAAUUUUCUUAUACUAUGCUGUUAGCCCUUAAAUUAAAAAGACAACUUCAACAAGAGAUCCCUUUAAUGUGUGCUUUUCAGAUCUCAUUCCGUACCUUAUUUUUCCCUCAGCUCUUCAAAACAAUAGCUGAUGUCAACAUUUCUAUCAGAAACAAUCACCAUAAACAUUUAGAUAUAUUAGCAGAAAGUGCUCCUUCCCAUCGAUCACAUACAUCAAAAAUCCUUGGAAACUUUUAAGUUGUGGACUUCCCCUGAAGACCUAUAGAGAAAAUGGCUCAAGUGAACACUCCUCUGUUCCUUCAGUGGAGCCCGAGUCAGUUGUGACGAGCAUCUGCUCUGUGGGUAGGUGCAAAAUACACGGCGAAAAUAUCAGCCGCGGAUCCCUUCUGUAAAUAAUAGCCUUGUCCAGAGGUUAUGGGGCCUUCACAAGGACACCAGUCGCACCCCUCCAUGGCACUGUGUUACAGUAAGUAACUCGCUUCCUGGAUGCACUUGUAACAGGCAGGUAUUCUAAUGACACAGGAUAUGCAGAUGUGUCCAGGUCUUUAAAAAGUCUUCCAAUGCAAUUAUUAAAGUAUUAUGUGCAGAUAACGCCACCAAAAACAUUGGGCAUGCUGUUCAUUCAGUUGAGCAUGAAACAACUUCCUUCUGAAUAUUUUAAACGUACUUGACUAAUUAAUUGAACAAUUAAUAAGGGCUAGAGUUAAAUUUCUAUUUUUCAUUGUAACAUUGUUUCAAAGCAUUGUUUUAACUAAAUUCUGCUAGGACUUCUUUUGGAAACCACACCAAAGUGCAGCUAUGAUGUUAAACAAAAACGUUCCUUUGACAAAUGAAAUCUUAAAAAUGGCUGCAAGAAAGGAAAAAGUCAGCUUUGAGUGGAAAACAUUUAAUAUGUUUUGAUGAUUUCUUAUCUCAGACAGAAGAGAAGACAAGUUGAUCUUCUCUGCUGAAACUUUUUGAAGUGAGUUCUGACUGAAAAGAUGUGGUGUUUCAACAAAAACAAAUUGUUAUAAAACAUGAUGUAUGCUCAGAAGCAUUAAUGUGUACCUCUCUGCUCCAGGUUUGAACAUUUCUGUCCAUUGAACUAGCCUGUUUCAUUUAUUUUUUAAAUUCUUAUCCAGUUGAUCUUUUUUUGUUCUUCUAUAAGUUUACAGUAGUUCAAUGGCUGCUUUUAUCUGUGAUGUGGGCUUUCAAACAGCACCAAACUCUGCUGUCCCAUCCUGUAAUCUGUCCUUUUGUUAUGGUGACUAGUGAACAGAGGCAACAUGUUAGUGCAAGCACUAUAAAAAUAUCUGUGAAGAAAACAUUCUUUCACUCUAAAGGAUAAGUUCCAUAAGAAUAUAUAUUCUUAAGUAUUUGCACAAUACUUAAAUAUGGUAUGGAUUUUUCUUUUUAAAGGUGGUAAUAUCCUAAUCAUAAAUAUCUUCUUGUUUAUAUGUAUCAUUUUACAGAUUUGUAAUCACAGAAAUCAAUUGCUAGAAUCCAUUUAAGAAAAUCAAAAUAGUUUAACUGAUUUACUUAAAAAAAUGCCUUGUUAGACCACGGAAUUUAAAGUCCUCUUUCAAAAUUAAGGAUGUUUAUGUAGCAAACUUAUCAUUACACAUUACAUUCUAGUGGCACGUAAAGACUUCUGAUUUAAAACAUGAAUUCUGUGUAGGUCCAAACUGAUGUCUUUGACUUCAGUUCCAGAACUCAAUUUCAGGACUUCUGCUGCUGGUGGCUCAUGGCAGUAUAUUAGUUCUUCCAAUAGGGAUGUGCUCAGGACAAAUUAGUGAACGUAAUUUUAGCUGUAUGAGGUCAUUACAAAUACAGUCUUAGCUCUUCCUAGAGUGGACUUCAUUGUUAAUAUAAAUAUAUAUCUAUAGUUACUGACAUUUAUAUUAUUUGGCUCCUGUCCUAAGUUAUGGAUACAGUGAUGAUAAAAGCCCUUACCUAAGUGAGUCAUGCUUACUAAUUACUUCCAUGGUACUGGGUUCCUGUAAAUAAAGUUACUCAUGUAUUUAUAAGCAAGUCAAAAUUUAUACAUACGUUUCUAAGAGUGAGUUAUCUUUCUCUCUGGGGCAAACAGCACAGUCUGCUGUUUGGAAAAGAAUGCUGAGAGUAAGGACAUCCAGGGUGCUUCCUUGCUUCUGCGAGGGUGUGUGCUCUCCCCUGUUGUUGGAUAUCCAAGUAAAAUACUUAAUUUGGUCACAUUUUUAAAUUAAGACCCUUCUGCAUUAUUUCAAGGUAGGAAAUGGCUGUUGAUUUUUCCUCGCUGUUUCCAAAGAGGCUGGGGUAAGAGAGUCUCUGUCUAAUUGUUUGUUCUAAAGAUGUAGCUUUCAAGACACAAAGCCUAGCAGUGUGACGUGGAAGAUCUCAAGACAAAGCAGCAGCCUCAACAUUUCUCUCUAAUGAGAACAGGAAAAGACAAUUGAGAUCCCGUAGGAAUGCAGUACGUUUAGGAGAGAAGCAGAGCUCCCUUCACGAAUGGUGAGAGAACCCUGGUGAAUGCUGGACUACCUGCUGUCUCUGGGUGUGACUAGGUGAGUGAAGGAUUUGGAUCACAGCCACAGUAACGUUUUCCAGACAUUUAGAUUGCAACUACUACGCCAGCAAUUUUAUGCCUUCCUUUCUCUGACUCCAACAGUACGCAAGAUAAGCAGCCAGAUUUUCUUCUGCAUUGUGUUUUUUAUCCAUUCAGCCAAAAUUAACAGUCUUCAAGGAUAAUGUAUGCCAAGUGAAUUUAAAUCUUGCGGACUCAAAUCGACCUAAAGUUGAUGGAUACAUUCAUGCCUACUGCUGAAAUCUACCAAUUACACAGAACUAUGCUAACUUACCAUAGAAACAUCUCAUCUAAUAGCACAGAUGAUGUUGAACUAACUAAUUACAUUAUGGCACAUAGACAAUGAAAAACAUAACGAAGAUGACAGCACAGCAACAACAGAUGCUGCACAAAAGAAAAAUUAGAAAAAUAUUGCUCUGCAAAAUGCUGUCUGUUAAGGUUUCUUCUGUUAAAAUUAAUCACAAAAAUUAGUGAAGAUUAGAUUUCAGCAGCAGAUAUGAGCAUUGCAAUGCUAUUUGGAAAACGUCAUUAAACCAUUUAAAGUCCUACUCCUUCAGAAGGUAAUUCCCAUUUUUCGUAUCACUAUCAGUUUUAAGAUGAGUAAACAGUUUAGUGCCGAUGGCAGUUUCUUGGGAGAAUAUCUUUCCCAGUGAGGAGAGGUCCCGAUGGCUCUUCCAGAGCUGUGUUUGGUAGCUUCCAGCCAUUAGAACUUAGAUAAUUAGGCAACUCAGAUUUUAUUUUAGCUUGGCAUUUGCUCCGGUCUGUGCUCUUGGCUGUCAGUGACAGUUGAUUAUCUGUAGCGUGCCUUGUUACUUGAUAUAUUUUAAACUGUAACAGAUCCUAAAUUCCAAAUCUGAAACUGCUGAGUAUGUUUAAAUGUAAUAUAUACACAGGGAUUACAUCCAGAUGAUACACUUCAUAGACCUGUGAUAAAAAAAAAAAAGCAUCACUUCUAGCCACCAUGCUGGUCGUCAGCCCCUGCCCCCCUCCCCCCAGUAGCUUUCCAUGAGCUCCCGGCUGCUUCAGCACCAAUCCUGAGUGUAAUCUAGUUGAUGGACAGAGACAGAAAUGGGCUUUUCCCUUAAAUAUAUAUUUCCUCUAAAAAUGCUUCUGAUGCUAUUCAAGUUUCAAUACGUUAUUGGCUUUAUAAGAAAGCAAAACAUCUAUUUGAUAUCCUGUUUCUCCCAAUUUCUUUAUUUUUUAGAGAGACUUUUUUUCUCUUCAGAUGCGCGGUUCCCGGGCGCGCAGCUGCUCGUCCGGCGGCGGCCGGGGUGCAGGCACGGCGGAGGCCCACAGGUGGCGGUGUGGUUCAAGCGCACCUGGGCU